rnacentral:lncRNA from 1 species
CCACCAGAACGACACUAAGAAGAUACUCUUUAGAUGUCAUACAACUUAGGAUUUAAUUUUUUGCUCUAACAUAUGAAAAAAUCAAAUCCUAGGACACUCAAGCAACACUUGCUGAAAAUCUCACCAUCCUUGUAGCAACUUUUGCCCCUCAAAAUUCUUACUUUUUUUCUUCAAAAUUUUUUUAGAAUUUUUUUUAUGUUUACCACAUCCCUCCUCUUGGUCUCAGCCAAAACUCACCACAAGAAGCUAUGUGGGACAUCCCC